AGGGGGGGUCCGGGGACGCGAGCGUAGCGGCGGCGCGCCGACACUGCAGCAGUCAGGGCACGCGGCACUCCGGCCGCUGGCUACUGGCGGGCGGCAGCAAGGCAGGGUGCAGGUGGGCUGGCGGCCAGCUGGGGGAUGCGGCGGCGUGACGCGGCAUCAAGCAGGGAAGGGGGCAUCUGGGCAAGGUGCAAAGGGCGUCAGCAGCAAGCAGCAGCACUGCAGCAGGUCAUCAGCCCAUUGCCCAGCACAGCAGAUUGAGGAAUUGUGGUUGUGAAGAUGCCGAAAAGAACACUGCUCACAUAUUAUUCUAGUUUAAGUAACACAAAUACCAGCGAUCCUCCACUCAAUAAUGAGAUUGCAAGUCAGUCAAAGAGGCCUAGGGCAGAGUUUAGUCAUAUGGAUAUCAUUGGUGAUCCAGUGGAAUGGAAACCAAUUGAGAAUUAUCAACCUGAAAUUAGAGAUCAAGUAAAAAGGAUAUAUGCAUUGAGUGGUCCAACUCAACCAGAUUUUUGCACAUUUCCUCGUAAGUGGCAAAGUGGUGAAUGGAGGUCCUUUCAAAAAGCUUGGUUCAAUGAGUUCGAUUGGCUUGAGUAUAGUGUUUCAAAGGAUGCAGCUUAUUGCUUGUAUUGUUAUCUUUUCUUUUAGCUAGGAAAACCUAAAAAUUUGGAAGUUCUGUAUUUGCUAAGGAAGGUUUUGUUAAUUGGAAGAAAGCUAAAGAUAGGCUUGCUACACAUAGUAAUUGUAAGACUCACAAUGAUACUAGGAAAAAAUGCAAAGACUUUAUGAACCAAAGGACAAGUAUAUUUAGGAAAAUUGAGAUUGUUAGCAAGGAGGAAGACAUUAGAUACAAGAUUCGGUUGACAUCUUCUUUAGAUGUUAUAAGGUUUCUCAUUAAGCAAGGUGAUCCUUUCCGUGGACAAGAUAAGACCAAUGCAUCCCUCAAUAAGGGUAAAUUUAGAGAGAUGGUUAAUUGGUACAAAGACAAGGUCCCAUAAGAGCAAUAAAAAUUGCCAAAUGUUAUCACAUGACAUUCAACAGGAUCUUACUAAAGCUUGUGCAGAAGAAGUGACGGCCGUGAUUAUGGAUGAGAUUGGACAUUGAAAUUUCUCCGUGCUUAUUGAUGAAUCUUGUGAUGUAUCGAUAAAUGAGCAAAUGGGUGUCAUCUUGAGAUUUGUGAAUGAUGGAAGGGAAAGUGAUGGAGAGAUUUUUGGGUCUUAAACACAUUGAGAGAUGUACAACGGUUGCAUUAAAAGAAGCUUUGGUUGGUAUGCUUUCUAGUUAUAAGUUAAUCAUCUCUAGGAUUCGUGAGCAGGGUUAUGUUGGAGCUUCUAAUAUGAGAGGGGAAUUUAAUGGUGUGCAGAAAUUGAUUAGGGAUGAAAACCCUUUUGCUUAUUUUGUCCAUUGUUUUGCCCAUCAAUUACAGUUAGUGGUUGUUACUGUUUCA